GGACCCGUAGCUCAGUUGGUUAGAGCUCCCGGCUCAUAACCGGUAGGUCGCAGGUUCGAAUCCUGCCGGGUCCACCA
rnacentral:tRNA from 1 species